rnacentral:rRNA from 1 species
AUACGUAGGGGGCGAGCGUUGUCCGGAAUCACUGGGCGUAAAGGGUGCGUAGGCGGCUUGGCAAGUCCUGUGUGAAAGGUCGCGGCUCAACCGCGGUGGGUCAUGGGAAACUGCCAAGCUCGAGUGCCGGAGAGGAUAGCGGAAUUCCCGGUGUAGCGGUGAAAUGCGUAGAGAUCGGGAGGAACACCAGUGGCGAAGGCGGCUAUCUGGAAGGUCACUGACGCUGAGGCACGACAGCUGGGGGAGCAAACAGGAUUAGAUACCCUGGUAGUCCCAGCCGUAAACGAUGAGUGCUAGGUGUUGCGGGUAUCGACCCCUGCAGUGCCGAAGUCAACACAAUAAGCACUCCGCCUGGGGAGUACGGCCGCAAGGCUGAA